rnacentral:rRNA from 6 species
UGCUCCUAGUACGAGAGGACCGGAGUGGACGCAUCACUGGUGUUCGGGUUGUCAUGCCAAUGGCACUGCCCGGUAGCUAAAUGCGGAAGAGAUAAGUGCUGAAAGCAUCUAAGCACGAAACUUGCCCCGAGAUGAGUUCUCCCUGACUCCUUGAGAGUCCUGAAGGAACGUUGAAGACGACGACGUUGAUAGGCCGGGUGUGUAAGCGCAGCGAUGCGUUGAGCUAACCGGUACUAAUGAACCGUGAGGCUUAACCUUACAACGCCGAAG